GAAGCUGUGGGAGGAGUGCAGGGAUACAGGUGGUCUGGAUUAGGGGCUUCCAUCCAAAGUGCCAGAGAAGGGGCUUGGCAUCGCACAGGGCUGGAGAACAUGACCACUGCCCACCUGUCUGCCUUCAAACUUCCUGAUCUAACUGCCACUUACCAAGCCUACCUGGCAGCCAAAGCCCUGUGGGUUGCCUAUCAGAACUUGAUGUCCUGCUCUGAGAGAGAGGGACCAUUCCUGGGAGGCACGUAUGCCAAUGCAUGGGAAGCCAGGCUUUCUCAGGUGCUCCAUUAUGCCUGAAAGGUUAACUUCACCACCAAAGCCCAAGAAGAGGUUUUCUUCGCCAAAGAUGGGGAAGUGCUGACAACGUUUGACAUUAAAAACAUCUAUGUUCUCCCAGACCUGUCAGGACAGACAGCCAUUGUUGGACACUUUGACUUCAGAGCACCUUCUGGAAAAGAGCUUCUGUUGGAUGACAGCGCAAUUGUCUGGGCAGAAGGACCCUUAAAGAUUAGAGCUGAGAGAACCCUAAGAACCAAGACCACACAGCACCUCUCACAUCCCAAGCUCCAGGAGUAUUUGUCAUAUUGAACUCACUUAGGAUACUGGGUCAAAAAGGGGUGGAUUAUUGACUUACACAACUUUGAGGCUGUUCAGUAAAUAAAACCUUCCAAACUCCCUGGCUCCCAAAAUUAGGGACCUUGCUAAAGGCAAAGAUAACUAAUGAGCAAAUGGGAAAACAAAUUAGAUACAAUUGUCAAUUCAAGUUUACCCUGAGAUGGUCAACUCCAGAUACCUAGAGAUACUACUGAUUUAGCCUUGCAGACUUAUGUCAAGAAAUAGGCAAUCGAUGCUGAGCUUUUUUAAGCAGUGGAAAAUAACCCAUGGAAUCCCAUUAGUCCUUUCCCAGACCCCUAAGUAUCUAAGGUCACCAGAGGGAGAAAUUCUUUUUUUUUCUUUUUUUUUAAGAUGGAGUUUCCCUCUUGUUGCCCAGGCUGGAAUGCAAUGGCGUGAUCUCAGCUCACUGCAACCUCUGCCUCCCAGGUUCAAGUGAUUCUCCUGCCUCAGCCUCCAGAGUAGCUGGGAUUACAUGCACCCACUACCACGCCCAGCUAACUUUUUGUAUUUUUAGUAGAGACGGGGUUUCACCAUGUUGGCCAGGUCGGUCUCAAACUCCUGACCUCAGACGAUCCACCCGCCUCAGCCUCCCAAAGUGCUGGAAUUACAGGUGUGAGCCACCACGAUCAGCUGAGAAAUUCUAAUUUAAGUGCAGUUACAUCUCAACUAUCAUCAUGCCUCCUGCAGUUUCCUUUAACUUGUGUAGGCAGGGUUAAACACUCCCUUCACUGAGCAACAAUAGCAUUUUUCACAUACCUCUAUGAUAAGAGUAAGAAAAUGACUAUAACUGGUAUAAUAUGUUCUAUAAUACGUUCUAUCUCUUUUCUCCGUGAUUUCAAACUUGUUCCCACUGGUCUCACCUUAGUCAGGCAUAUGGUUUUUUAUUCCCAUGACUAUCACACCUCAAUGUCCAAAUCAUCCCACCCUGAGAGGAGGGAACAAAGUUGCUUAUGAACAAGGAAGCAGAAUAGAGUUCCAGGGAAGAAAUUAGCAUUGUCGCCCCACAGGCAAGGGGCUGACCCCACCUGUUGAGAUCUUCACUCAGUACUGUUUCAGGUAUCUCGCAGCCCAGGUACUUAUCUUCUCUCUUGCUUCUCCUUCCUCAGACCACAGAAUCCAUGCAUCAGACCUUUCUAAGGAAAUUCAUUCUGCAAGCAUGAUCUGAAUCUCAGUUGCUCCCAACUUGGAGUGAUUUUGCCUCUCAUGGGACAAUGACAAUGUAUGGAGACAGUUUUGGUUGUCACAACUUGAGGGAGUGCUGCUGGCAUCCAGUGGGGCAGGGGCCAAGGUUGCUGCUAAAUGCCCUAAGAUGCACAGGACAGUUCUCCAUAACAAAGAAUUAUCCAGCCCCUGUGUCAGUAGUGCUGAGGUUUAGACACCCUGGACUCAAGGAACCCUAGAGUGGUGCUGAGGCUUAGGUAGUGUUUGUAGUCUUUGUUUCUGAUUCACUGUGGAUGACCCAGUUCUGUUGGGGCUAGGGGAAAAUUAGUCCCUUAAAUAUAAACAAAGGGAUUUGAUGAGCCUAGAGUGAAAGACAGACUCUUCAGUUAACACUUCGGAAUAUGAUCCCAGCUCACUAGCACUUGUCAUGCACUCAUGAUUCUGGUCACUAUGAUAUGGACUUCACUUACAUUGUCUUAUUUAAUCCCAACACCACCUUCAAAGCACAUAUCAUUAUGGCCAGGCGUGGUGGCUCACGUCUGUGAUCUCAGCACUUUUGGAGGCCAAGACAGAUGGAUCAUUUGAGGUCAGGAGUUCGAGACCAGCCUGGCCAAUAUGGUGAAACCCUGUCUCUACUAAAAAUACAAAAAUUGGCCCGGCGGUAGUGGCACGCAUCUGUAAUCCCAGCUACUUGGGAGGCUGAGGCAGGAGAAUCGCUUGAACCCGGGAGGCGGAGGUUGCAGUGAGCCAAGAUUGUGCCACUGAACUCCAGCCUGGGUGACAGAGUGAGGUCCUGUCUCAAAAAAACAAACAAACAAAAAAUACAUAUUAUUACUACAACUUGAGUAUCCCUUAUCCGAAUUGCUUGGGACCAGAAGUGUUUUGGAUUUCAGAUUUUUUCAGAUUUUGAAAUAUUUGCAUAUGCAUAAGGAAAUAUCUUGGGGAUAGGAUCCAAGUCUAAAUAUGAAAUUCAUUUAUGUUUCAUAUACCACUUAUACACAUAGUCUGAAGGUAAUUUUUUACAAUAUUUUUAACUAUAUCAUGCAUGAAACAAAGUUUGUUUAUGUCAAGUCAGGUGUGGAAUUUUCCACUUGAGGCAUCAUGUUGGCACUCAAAAAGUUUUGGAUUUUGGAGCAUUCCAGAUUUCAGAUUUUCAAAUUAGGGAUGCCCCAUCUAUAUCUCCAUUUUAUUGAAGAGGAAUCUGAAGCUUAGAGAUGUUAAGCCCAAGGCACGCAAACCAUAAAGGGCAGAACCAGAAUUCCAACCAUCAAGAUGUCUUGUUUUCCCACCACACUCGAAAUCCGGAAGAGCUUAUUCUUACCUAUCACUGUUUCCCUAACACCCUGUACAGUACCUGAUAUACGGAACACAUUUUUAAUUAUCUGAGCAAGAAAUGGAGAAAGAGGAAAAUGAAAGAGAGUAGAAAAGGAAAACGUGAUAAAGAGGGGUUUAAUAAAGGAAGGAGUAAGAGAAAGAAAGAGAGAGAGGGACCUAGUAAGUGAAAACGAUGAGGCUUAUUCCUCCACGACCUGACUGCACAGAUGUCGCUCAAUUCCCCCUGCAGUCUCCCCAGCACUCUCUCCCCUCCACUCUCCCACCUCUUGUGUGUAGGUCCCUUCCUCUGUCUGCAACGAAAAACGUCCUGUGGAAACCAGGAAGUCAACCCUAUUUGAGAAGUCAAAAUGCUGCUACAAAAGCCUUCCCUGACCCAGAAGAGAAAUCGCAAUGUCACCAGGUAAGGAGGGAGGCUGGUUCUUGGUCAGAGGGUGGCCAGCCAUCAGCCAGAGUAGACUUCAGAUGAAAGCUGUGUCCACAUCAAGGAAAUUCCUUCAAUGGAAAAGUCCAGGGAAGUCGAGACCAAAAAGAAGAUGUCAAUGUGACCUUCCUAGAUGCUACAUUAAAGCCAUUUGAGGCUAUUAAAUUCAUUCUUUCUUUUAUCAACCAUGAGUUUGUUCAAAUCCUGUACUUAGUUUAACAUUUGCCAUAUGGUAGGCAUUUCAUAAAUGUUUAAAAAGAAUUACCCUAAUGACAUAAUCUUUAUUUUACUAAGAUGUCAUUCAUUCAACAGAUAUCAACUGGCACCAACCAUAUACAACCACUGUGCUGGGUGCAAGGGUACCAACAACAAAUAAGCCAUGGUCCUGGACCCACAGAGCUCAGGAUAUAUUAAAAGAGAAUGAUACUGGACCCCUACACCUAGCACAGCUCAUCUCUCAAUAAAGAAACUAGACUAUAAAGUGAAGUCAAUACUGUAAUAAAUAAAUAAAUAUUCAAGCAUCGAGCUGUGAAAGCACGUUGGAACAAUUAAUUCUAACAAAUAGGCAGGGAGACUUGGCAAUGCAAGGGGUGGCAUGUGACACAGGCCUUAAACAACAAGCAAGGUUUCAAAGGCAAUGAAGCAUAAUAAGGAUAUUCCAGGCCAAGGAGGAAGUUAUUAUAGUAAAGGCAUGAAAGCAAUAAGGAGCUGAGAGUGGUUUCAGCAUCAAUUGUGAUGCAAGAUAUAGGAAGCAGGUGGUCAGAUCAUAGAGGACUUUACCUGCUGGACUCUGGAGCAUGGACUCUAUUCUAUAGAAAAUGGGGAGGAGCCUCUGAACUACUUCAGUAUAAAAGCAAUGUGUAUUUCAGUGUGUGUCUUGGGGAAAUGAAUAGACAAAUAGACAAAGGAGGGAGAUUGGAGCAGGAAGACCAGGUUCAGAAUCCAGGUAAUUGUUGAAGCCACAGGUUUGGAUGAAGUCUCUUCAAAACUCUCCCUGGGAAAGUAGAGACUUUGGAAAUACCUUUUGCCCUUUUGAAGAGAAAGUUUCCACCGAAUGAAGCUGAGAAGGAACCACCAGGUGCUGAAGAGAGGAUGACACAAAUGAGAAAUCCUUGAACUUAGACACUAGGAAGACAUGGAAUCAAAGUAUCUAGGACCCUACAAAUAUAUCCAAAUCAAGGAAAGAGAUCAAAUUGUCCCUAUUUGCAGACGACAU
rnacentral:lncRNA from 10 species